rnacentral:tRNA from 2 species
GUACAAGUGGUCUGCGGUAAAGGCGUUCUCCUUCAUCAAGGUCCGGCUGGACCUUCCUCAAAGAGAAAGAUGCAAGUUCAAAUCUUGCCUUGUGCA